UAGACGCUAGCGUGUCUCCUCAUUUGUCACUCACUCCCACAAUUAGGGUGGAGCUGCUGAAUUUGUGGCUAAUCUUUACACAGACGUAGUGGUAACCCGGUUUAGAGCAUGCGACGUGGGGUAAUAAUAACCUGAGUUAACGUUCAAGCCUUUGAUCCACAGGAAUUAUAAAAAGUCAUAGACUUCAUGCAUGAUUGAUCAUAUUCAUAUGUCAUGCUCUAUCAGCAUAUAACUUCUGUAAACUUAGUCCUCUUAUGGUUUAUACCUCUGUUGUCAACUAAUCGCACCAGUCAGUGCCUAAGUGAACUGCAUCACACGAGGGAUAAAUAUUAUUCAAAUUUAUUCCCUAUCGGCUAUUGUUCGUUGUGCUUGGUUAUUUUGUAUUCAGGUUGCUAGUCUGCAUGGUCAUGGUGCAUGCUGUUUGCCAGAACAAACAAUGCUUUGAUUUAAAACAGAUAAUUAUCAUUAAGUGCCGCGUUACCUAAUUUGAAAUCGAUUUCGUGCACUCGAACAGCGGUGCAGGCGUCUGAAUAAAAAUGGUAAUCACAAUUUUGUCACAAUGCCCUUAACGCAAAUAAAGAAAUCUAAAAUGAAAGAGAAGCAAUUCAUUAUUGAAAGCGUUAAAAUUUAGGGCCACUUUUUGACCUCUAAUUGUGCUGCAGCCAUUGUCAUCGUUGUAAUUUACCCCUUUGACUAUUUUAAGCGUAUUAAUUAUCAGGAGACCUGGACUGAUUUUAAGGUCUGUGGAUUUGAAUAUUUAAAAUGGCUGGUUCUGGUGAUUGCAGUACAAAUACAGAAUCUCAAGCUGUUCUUCAGAACAAGAUUUCUCGUUUAAACUUUUUAUGACUGCCCCAUUUUCAUGAUAAUUUCAGGGAAUUCGGAUAUUCAAAAUGCCAAGUUAAUGGUGCAGUGAUUGCAGUACAUCUACAGAUUGCUGAUUGAGAUAGACAAAUCCGAGUUAAUAAUGUCCACCAUUUCCGGAUUCAACCUAUUCGUCAGAUUUUUGUUCUUUGCCAUUCUUAUUCUCACAGUGUGGAGCAAAGCAGUAAACGAGGAAUCAGCGAUAGUGUUCUCGAGUAACGAAGAUGAAGGAAUGCUGGGCCCUAUCAUGAUGGCGGGAGCUGACGCAGACCUAGCUUAGUUCCUCAACACUAACAGUUUUACUCCGGAGUCCAGACCUUACAGCUCUUCUGGACCAAGGCUGUUGAGAUAUUUUACCGCUAUAAGAGAUUGUAUCUCCACAGAAAGCACAUCCAAUUUGAUACGGAUGAAGUUGUUCUAUAGCUUGCCUGAUUCUGCAAUAAGUUAACCUGUCCUGACCAAAAUUGACCGGGGAUCACUUUCGAGACACCCUGACAAACGCUACUCACGCUAUUGUGCUUUUUACGGAAAAAAUAAGACAGUAGCGAUCAUUUUGAGUUUGCCAUUCUCUUUCAAAAGUAUUCCAAGUUAUUUUUAUAAUGGUAAUGGUAUUUAUUGAUUCUGAAUACAUUGCAAAAUAUUUUGUAUUUCAUCUCGAUUUAUGAAGUUUGAAAAAAGUUUCUGCAAUGCGUGAAAUUUGGGGAGUGUGCUUUCUGUGGAGAUAUAAACUGCGCAUUCUGAUAUUAUAUUCUUUGACCAUCAAUGCUGUUACUAAUUUAAAUUUAAUUAUCAUUUA